AGGAUAAACGCUGGCGGCGUGCCUAACACAUGCAAGUCGAACGUCCUACGCAAGUAGGGAGUGGCGGACGGGUGAGUAACACGUGGGCAAUCUACCUUUCGGUGAGGAAUACCGGCGAGAAAUCGCCGACAAUACCGCAUACGCUUCGCAAGAAGCAAAGUCGCAAGACGCCGGAGGAGGAGCCUGCGCCCGAUUAGCUGGUUGGUGGAGUAAUGGUCUACCAAGGCGACGAUCGGUAGCUGGUCUGAGAGGAUGAUCAGCCACAUUGGGACUGAGACACGGCCCAAACUCCUACGGGAGGCAGCAGUGGGGAAGUAUUGGACAAUAGGGCGCAAGCCUGAUCCAGCAAUGCCGCGUGGGUGAAGAAGGUCUUCGGAUUGUAAAGCCCUUUCGACGGGGACGAUGAUGACGGUACCCGUAGAAGAAGCCCCGGCUAACUUCGUGCCAGCAGCCGC
rnacentral:rRNA from 1 species